rnacentral:rRNA from 1 species
AACGAACGCUGGCGGCAGGCUUAACACAUGCAAGUCGAGCGCCCCGCAAGGGGAGCGGCAGACGGGUGAGUAACGCGUGGGAAUCUACCUUUUGCUACGGAAUAACUCAGGGAAACUUGUGCUAAUACCGUAUGUGCCCUUCGGGGGAAAGAUUUAUCGGCAAAGGAUGAGCCCGCGUUGGAUUAGCUAGUUGGUGGGGUAAAGGCCCACCAAGGCGACGAUCCAUAGCUGGUCUGAGAGGAUGAUCAGCCACACUGGGACUGAGACACGGCCCAGACUCCUACGGGAGGCAGCAGUGGGGAAUAUUGGACAAUGGGCGCAAGCCUGAUCCAGCCAUGCCGCGUGAGUGAUGAAGGCCCUAGGGUUGUAAAGCUCUUUCACCGGUGAAGAUAAUGACGGUAACCGGAGAAGAAGCCCCGGCUAACUUCGUGCCAGCCGCCGCGGUAAAAC